GACGAACGCUGGCGGCGUGCUUAACACAUGCAAGUCGAGCGGAAAGGCCCCUUCGGGGGUACUCGAGCGGCGAACGGGUGAGUAACACGUGAGUAAUCUGCCCUUGGCUUCGGGAUAGCCACCGGAAACGGUGACUAAUCCCGGAUAUGACCAGCUACUGCAUGGGGGUUGGUGGAAAGUUUUUCGGCCAGGGAUGUGCUCGCGGCCUAUCAGCUUGAUGGUGAGGUAACGGCUCACCAUGGCUUCGACGGGUAGCCGGCCUGUGAGGGUGACCGGUCACACUGGGACUGAGACACGGCCCAGACUCCUACGGGAGGCAGCAGUGGGGAAUAUUGGACAAUGGGCGGAAGCCUGAUCCAGCAACGCCGCGUGAGGGAUGACGGCCUUCGGGUUGUAAACCUCUUUCAGUACCGACGAAGCGCAAGUGACGGUAGGUACAGAAGAAGCACCGGCCAACUACGUGCCAGCCGCCGCAGUAAUAC
rnacentral:rRNA from 1 species